UACGUAGGGACCAAGCGUUGUCCGGAAUCAUUGGGCGUAAAGCGCGCGUAGGUGGCCAUUUAAGUCCGCUGUGAAAGUCAGAGGCUCAACCUUUGAAAGCCGGUGGAUACUGGAUGGCUAGAGUACGGAAGAGGCGAGUGGAAUUCCUGGUGUAGCGGUGGAAUGCGCAGAUAUCAGGAGGAACACCAAUAGCGAAGGCAGCUCGCUGGGGACGUGACUGACGCUGAGACGCGAAAAGCGUGGGGGAGCAAAACAGG
rnacentral:rRNA from 1 species